CUAAAAGUUGUGGUUUGACAAGUGAAAUCCCAUAGGAAUAGUUUAUUGAAUGAAUUUAAUGAUAAGAGUUUGUAUUUGUAUCAAUUAUAACUUGGUUAGCCACUUAGUUGACUAAAAUUGGGUCUUUAGGAUGUUAGUUGUUGUUUGGGUCUGUGGUAAAGUGUUGGUUUUGGUAUAAUGGAUUGAGUUAUUGAUCGAAUGAUCAAAUUGAUAUCCAAUCCAAAUGUUUAAACAUAUUUUCCAAAUAAUAACCGAGAUAAGGAUAUCAAAUUAGGUCAUUUGGUUAAGACUGGAGUACACAUAGAUCAGGUUUAGAGCUGCUGGUUUUUGUGUGGCAUUGAGGGGUAUCUGAGUGGUGUUGAGCUAUGCAAAGUCAGAGAACCAAUGGACUCCAGAGCAUUGAGUGACCAUUUUGGGCACUAAGCCUGUGAAGACAGUAAGAUCUUUAUAUUUUUGGCAUUGAGGGGCACUUAAGGUCACUGAGUGUUGCAAAGACAGUGGGCUCUCUAUUUAAGGGGCACUAAGCGUGUUGGGAGGUGCUGAGCGCCACUUCGUCAUUAUAGGUAUGGACUUCUUUUUCCUUUAAUUCACUGGGCGAGGGGUUAUCUCGCUGGGUGAGGAACCUUGCUCAUUGGGUGGCAGAAUCUUGCAGUUGGGCACUCUAUUUUAGGGUUGUGUAGACGUUUUCCUUAUUGUUGAUUCCUUGUUUGAUUUGAAUUGGUUAUUUUGAUUUAAUGUAUAUUUAAAUGGAAAUGUUGACGCUUUAUGGAUUUUAAAUAUAAAUAUAAAUAUGGUUAAAGUAUGAUGGUAAACAUGUAUGGUGCUCGUUUGUGUAUGAUAUUAUGAUGAUUAUGAGUGUGUUAUUAAUCGUGAAUAUGGUAUACAUGUUUGAUGGAGUUCCAUGGAUCUUGUGAAGACAUUAUAUGGUGUAGGAGGUCUAAAAUAAAGAAUUAUUUUAACACUCUUAAUAACUUCCAAUUUCAAGUACAAAACGAUGGUUAUGUCGUGAAGAGUAGUAGGAGGUCCUUAGUCUGAUGGUCAUGUAUUGACAAUAGAUGUUUGACAGAUUAAUCUUGGUGUGUGAUAGUUUUAUGUGGGCGGGUUGUUUCACCACGCACAACGUAGAUACCCCAAGAGUUCGACAUAAAUACAUGUAUUUGGAUGGUCAAGUCUAGAAAUGAUUGUAUGUCCUAAGAUUGAUUGACUUAUCUAUGUUAUAUGCUUGUUUCUAUAUAGGUGAAAUACGAUUGUUUUUAGUACAUUAUCUUAUUCUUUCCUUUCUGUUUGUUUGUAGUGUGUUCCUUCUUGUUUGCAAUGAGCACCUUAAUGGUAUGAGCAAAUGAAGAUGUUUUAGUUGAUUUUGUGUAGAACGGGAGUGAUGCUGAAGCAUAAAGUAGGAUGCUUAAUCUCAGUGUAUAUUAUUUUUUUUUUUAAACUCAAUUACGCUUUUAGUUUUGGUGUAGUAGUAUUUUUUAGAAAUAUAGAAUCUCUGUAAAUAUGUUCAAUUACUAUUACAGUAAUGUUUGAGAUAAUUGUAAUAGACUUUUGUAUAUAUUAUUUUUUAAAAUUUUAUCCUCUUAUUUCUUUUCUAAGUAAUACUUUUUUAGUAGUUUUAUAUUAUUAAAAUUAAAUGCACAAUAUGUAUAUAAAAUACAUUUUUAAGUAUUAUACUAAAUGUUUUUAUAAUUAUUAGAUGUCUUAACUAAUUAAAUUUCUGCAUCAUCCAAUAGUUCGUUCUAAAAAUUGUUAAUAUCAAUAUUUUAACAUGAAAGAUAAUAUAUAACUUUUAUUCACAUUUUAUUUAACAGCGAUAAUUAUUAAAUAUGUUUUUCUUUUACUUAAAAAAUUGUUUGCAAUUAAUAACCUUUAUUAGAGUCUAUUUUUAAUUGUUGGAAAUAGAAAUAUGAAAAUAUGCGGACAACAAAAGCUUGUAAAGCGCCUAAAAGUAGAAAACAAAAAUACCCUAAAUGAACUGUAAAUCUUUUUGUGUUAAAAUAGUAAACUUUUUGAAAAUAUAAUAACUUUGUUUUGAUAAAAACACAUAAUAUACAUUGAAUGUGAGUGUGAAUGUAUGAGAUGUCAAAUUUCAUAAUAAUACUUGAUAGGAUUUUAUUUAAAAAGACAUAAGAUAUAAAAUAUGAUAAAGAAAUUUCUCCACUUUCUUAAUGAAAACAUAUUAAAGAAGAAAACAGCAUAAAAAUAUCCAUUAAUUAGUGACAAACAUUCUAAUAUGUGAAUCUAUAAUUCUUAUAAUUGUUUUGAUCAUUACAUGAAAUUUUGAUUCUUUCACGUUAUAAAAUAUUAAAUACAUUUACAUGUUUUGGAUAUUUUUAUAAUUAAAAAUUAUUAAAACAUAAUGUAUAAAAAUAAUAAUAUUAUGUAUAAAAGUUUUGUACCAACCGUUUGACUAACUGAUAUUGACUAACCAACUUUUGACGGAUAGAUAGACACCAUAGAAUGAGUUUAUACACAACUAGAUUGGUGACGAUGUGACCCACAACAACGUUGCCUACUAAGUAAUUAUGACAUUUGUAUUGGUAUAUCAAACAAUAUAAAUUUUAAUGUAAAUAUAUCGUAUUUUAUUACAAUAUGUUAAAGAUUUAAAAACUGCCAAUUUUUUUAAAUAUUAUUUUAAAAAUAUAAAAAAAAAUUAUAAGUUUCUUUUAACAAUUUUAUAAUUAAUAAUCAAAUCACCUAUUUUAUUUAAAAAUUCAAACAUGGAUUAAAUUGAUAAUGUGACUUUUCAUAAUCAUGUUUUUAAACUUUUAAUUUAGACUUUUGAGUACUAAAUUUACCUUUGAUUUAGGUAAUCUUUUAUGGACUAAGAAAUAAGAAUAUUUGUAGGAACAUCUGCAUCAUGUUAUUAUAAUGACAUGGAGAUACUUUUCAUGAUAAAACAAUUUAAAAUUAAAGAAUAAACUCUAAGAGCAAAGUAAAAUCAAAUCAAUCCAUAAAAUGUUAUCAAGAGACUCUAAAUUGGAGUCAAAAGUCAUAAAUAAUGAAAACCCUUUUUAUUUAGUAGCAACAUCCUUUGUUGCAUACUUGAAGUUAAAACUAGAGUUCAAAGUUAUGUUAAUUAGUUCUAAUAUAGUUUUAAUGUAAUUGUAUUUAUUCUCAAAGAAUGAUAACUCAAUCUUCAACAACUUCUAAAAAUAAUAUAAAAAAUUUGUUUAUUUUUUAAAGUUAGGAUGACAAUGUAGGUGGAUUAUGUGAGUUAAUAUGUUAGUUUAUUAGAAAAAAUUGCAGAGAGAACAAAGUAUUUUGAUUUGUUGGUAUGUUUAGACUAAUUUGUUGGUUUUUUUAGAUUUAUUUCACAUUAUUCGUAACUUUUUUUUUUUUUUUCAUUUUUCUUCACUUCAUGUUUGAAUUCCUAAGUUAGUUCUCUUGUGUAUAAUAAACAUUGAUUAAUUGCUAUAGUUUCUUUUUUUUUUAACUUAGAUAAUAAUUUAUUUUUAUGUUUUUUAUCAUGAAAAGUUUAAUUUUGACAUAUUUAUUUUAUGUAAAUGUUAUUAUUACUUUUACUUACCUUAUUUCAAUUUAAUUGUCAAUGCUAAACUCAUGUCAUAAUAAAGAUGUGUAACAUUAAAACCAGAUUAUUCUAGUAACAUUUGUAUAUUAUUUGUUUAUUAUAAUAAUAAACAAAAUAGAAUAAAAUAAAAGUACCAUUAUAAAAAUUACAAAAGCAUAGACAAAAUGAAACUAUUUCAAUGAUGACAGUGAUACACACUCUUAUGAAACAAAUUGCAUUAUUUCUAGCUAUUUAUAAACGGCAAAUAAAAAUUGUUUAUUGUGUGCAUUAAGGAAAAUAAUUAAUAACAGUGUCACCAUAUACUGAGACAAGUAUAGGAAAUUGGUAUAAAAGUGGAAAAUAUUUAUAAUAAAUGAAAUGCUAUGAUAUUGAAGAAACAAAAUAACAAUGAGCAGUAUAAGUUAUGUAUUUAUACUGUUUACGUGUAUAUGUAUAGCUACUAGUACUUUGAUGGUUAAUACUCAUGCUACACCAAAGUUUUUAACUUCGUGUACUAUUAUAGCUGCUAAAAGUUUCCAUACAAUGUCUUUUUUUUUCCAAUUGGACUUGUAUAAUUUUUUUAUUCAAAUACAUUAUCUAUCCAUAAGAAAUACUUAAUUUAAAAAUUAUUAGACAAUUUGACACUAUAGUUUCAUCUAAUCUUCAUCCGAUAUGUAUAUAUAUAAAAUCAAUCUAAUUAAGCAUUUUACUUAAUUUAACAGAGGCGUGAUAUUAUUCAAAUAAUAGAGGCAUGAUAAUUUAAAAUUAUCCAAUAAUAUUUCAUUAAUAUCUAGACGUAUUUUUUAUUUUAUUUUUAACUAAAAGAGUGAUAAAAUAAUAUGUUAAUCUUAUUAAUCAAAUAUUGAUUUUAUAUGUAAAUAAUCAUAUAUUAAGAACUCCUAUUAAACAAAAUUAAAUAUGUUAUGAAUUAUAUUAUACAUUUAUGUACUAAAAAUAUAUGAUAUGUGUAGUAAUUAAAAGGUAUUUUGAUAUUUCAUUAUUAGACAUAGAAAAAUAUUUAUUAGAAAUUUACAUAUACAAGGAAUUUAAAGAUAAAAUCACAUCACUUUUUUUAUCACAAGGAAUUUACAUAUACAAGUAUAUUUUUACUCUUACACUUUUUUUUAUUUCUAAUAAUUAUCAUGUAUGGUUACAUAAUUCUAAUAAUAAAAAAAAUAACUAUAGUACUAGUAAUAUUCGUUUAUACAAGUAUAUUUCUACUCUUAUAUUUAUUCUUAUUUUUAAUGAUUAUCAUCAUUUAUCAUUAUAUAAUUUUAAGAAUAAACAUAAUAGUAAUGAUACGUUGGGGUUGUUAAUAAAGUUUUAUUACUAUACAAACACUAAAGAAUAAAUGUUUGAAUAAUUCAAUGAUAGUUAAUCAACUUAAUCUCUAAUCCUUAUAAUCUCUAACUAUAAAUUGUCAUAUAUGUUAUUAUUGUGAUUAUCUUAAAAUUUAUUUUAAUAAUUACUUUUAAUUAAUUAAUCAUGUGUAAUAAAGCUUCCCUCUUAGAGAAUGUGGCCAUUAUUUAUUUAUUGGAACUUCUUUUAGGUUGUGGAUAAUUCUGGCCCAAUUAUCGCUCCAAUCCUGUAAGAAGACACAUUUUCUCUAGGCCUAUUUUACAUAUUCUGAUUAGGGAAUUUCCUUUUUCACCCCAUAAUUUUAUUUGUUCAGCAGCGUUAAUAACACAAAAAAAAUAUUACUCUGUCUUUAAAAAAUAACUUUCAAAGUAAUCCAGAAAUUUAUUUAACUUACUUAUGGAUUAUGUAAUUCAUAACUCAAUUUAUUUUAAAUUAUUUAAUUUCAAAAGCAUUUUAUUUUGAAAUCUUGUGAUGCCCUAUACGGUUCAAGAGUAUUAGUGGUUUUAAUAAAAAUAGAACACUAAUAUCAUAUUAAAAGGUUUAAGUUAUAUAAUGACUUUUUAAUAACUAACGUUUAUUUCUAUAAAACCACCAUCUCUACAACCAAACUUUUAAAUUCUUUUUGUGUUCUCUCUAGUUUAUCUUAAACAUUUUUCAUUUACUUGAAUAUUAAGAACUAUAGUCGUGAUUCUCAUAAGGAGUUCUACACAACCACCUGAUCAAAGAAUUGAACAAAAUAAGUCUUGCUUUUGUCCUCUUUUAAGUUUUGAACCUCGGAGUUGUAUUUGGUUCUAGAACCAUGCAUGUGAUUCAAAGUUGUUCUUAAUGACUCUUUAUCACUCUCUAAUAUUAAUGGUAGACUUAUAACUUCAAUCAGAUUUUUUGUUGUUUGUUGUUUUGGGAGACAUCUUUGGCUGAAGUAAGAGAAGCUAAUUUGUAAUUAUCCUUAAUUUGUUUAUUGAUUAUUGUAUUAUGACAUUGAAAUUGUGCUUGAUUAAUUAACAUAUUUGACAAUUAUAAUUGGAUUUGAAAUGUAAAAUUUGUCUUGAUGGAAUUUAUGAAGGGAGGAGUGAACUUGUGAAGGGAGGAGUGAACUUGUGGAUUAAUUAACAUAUUUUUGGACAAAUUUGAAUUUGUCCAAUAUGUAUAUUUGGUGGUUUAUAAAGUGUGGAAUUGGUUUCAUGACUAAGAUUGGAGUUUAAAUAUAUGAAAUGUUAAAUGUAUAGACAUAUUUAUGUGUUUAAUUUGAUUUUGAGGUGUGAAAGGAGUGAAUUUGUGAAUGCUAUAUUUUUGGCAAAAAUGAGUUGUUCAACAUAAUUUUAGCGUGAUUUAUGAUUUGUGUGCAACAUGAGUUUUGGUUUUUGGUUUGUUUGGCAUUUUUAAAUUACAAAAUUUUGUGGUAUACUUUAUGUAGACCCAUUGGACGAGCUUAUAUGCUGGGCUAGCUUAUAUACGUCGGGUAAGUGCUAAUUUUGAGUAUGGAAGAGAAACAAGUGACACUUUCUCAUUGGGCAAGCCAACCUCUUGCUAGGUGAGUUGGAUUUUCUAGCUCUAAGUCAUAUAGGGAACAUUAGGAUUCCUGCUUCAUUAAUCGUCAAAUUGAGCUGAAAUUUUGACAACAAGCCUUUGGAAUAUGAUUCUUUGUUUUGAUCAUUGAGAUAUUUGAUUUGAGUUCUAUAGUUUGAAAUUUUAGUCUUUUAUGAUUUUUCUAUUUAAGGUUUCUCUUUUAUGAAGAGAAUUUAUACUAGACGUGUUAGUAGGUUGUUAUGUACUGUAGUGGUCUUAGGUUGAUCUUGAUAUAAAAGUCUAUAUUUUGGGAAUGAUAAAUGUGUGUGAUAUGAAGGGUAAAUAAAGCAUCCUCAUGUGAUGAUAUAAUUUUAUAUAUAUUUUGUGGAUGUGUUUUGAAUAUAUGAAUGAGGAGGAAAUAAACGAGUAUAAAAAAUAUCAAAGGUUUCAAGGAGGUUAUUUCAAUAUAAAGUGGUAUGGAAGUGCAUGCCUGGAGAGAAGUAUACUAAUGAAAAUUGAAAGAAUGAAUGGAAAAUAAAAACAGAUAAAAGAAAGAGAAAUGGAAACUUAUGACUUGUAGACAUGUCACUUGAGAGAGGACUCCAAGAUAAGUGUCGAGGAAGGACCACCACUUGAUUUGCUCAAGAUAAGGUUUGCCAAAAUGGAGUAAGUGACAAAAGACUAUCUCUAAGAAGAAUGCAAGAGUUCAAUUCAACUCAAAAUUUCAUUGAUUUCAAAGGUAAGUACAAAGGAGACCCCCUAGGCUUCUUAUAUAGCUUUUGGAAUGAGUUUGGUGAAGAGUUUCAAGAGAUGUGGGACUUGGAAGGCUCCAAGGUCCAUCCAGCAGCUGCAACACGUCCCCUAGGUGCUUGGAGCCCCACAUUGCUUAAUUCUCUCAUUCCAAAAGGGUUUAUAAGCUACCUAACUCUCUUAAAGUUCAAAAAAUGAAAACUAGCUAUGCUUCCUUGUGCUACAAGCUAAGACGCCUACUUCCUUCUCUUUUCUUUUAAGACCAAGCCAUGGAAAGUCCCACAUUUCUUGUGCUUAAAGGAAAAGAAGGGUUUAUAAGCGUUUAUUCCACUAAAACUAAUGAAAAGAAUCAAAGAGGCAAAUACAAGUCUAUUAAACCCAUUCUACUUUUUUUGUACAAAUGUGUAAAGAAGACAAGAAGUAAAAUGAUUUCCUUUAACCAUGCUUCUUGUCAUCCUUUUAUUCUCUUCAUCGAAAAGAAAUCAAAGAGGCAAAUACAAGCCUAUUAAACCUAUUCUACAUUUUAUGUACAAAUGUGUAAAGAAGACAAGAAGUAAAAUGAUUUCCUUUAGCCAUGCUUCUUGUCAUCCUUUUAUUCUCUUCAUCACUUGCCUUCUCUAUGAUCACAUCAUAAAGGGAUGUGAUAUAUUGCUUUGUUUAUGUUUUAGUUGCAUGGCCAUAUUCUUCCAAGGAGGAAAGGUAGGAUAAGAUAGUUAGUGUUAUGCAAUUUCUGGAGAUCUUAGAAACACAUGACUUCGAUGGGCGACAUGUUGAUGAAGAUAUCUAGCACUUUAGAUGAAGACUUUUCCUGCAUGAACAAAGACUUAACACGAGGAAAAAAAGAGAACGAAUGAAUAUUAUUGAUGUAAAAAUUAUCUGUGUACAAAGCGAAAAAAGAAGGAAGAAUAUAUACAACAUAAGGUCUACAUAACAGAAAAGGGCACAUAAACCUAACAGAAUAAUAGAGAAGAAUGCAUAAACUUGACCAUAUAAGCUCAACCCAUAUGAGCCCGACAGUACAAGCUCAACUCAUUUUAUUUUUGUUAUUUUGAGAAGGGACACUCCUGUGAAGCUAUGCUGAACUCUACUAGAUUUACAAACUCAUAUAGAGGAUGAGAUCUAGGUGGUGAAGAGUGAAAGGGGUUCCUAUAGUUGGUUAAGGAGGUUAGUAUGGUAUAGAGAGCUAACCCUAUCAAAAGGAGGUUCGAUGACCUAGUAAAUUUGGGUUGGUUUUGACAUAUCAUAUCAUUAUAUUAUUUUGAUUGUUCUAUAAUAGUUGCACAACUUCUAGUAUCCGACCAAUUACAUAAAUUCAUAUAUUGAAUCUAGUGUUGUUAUCGAUUAUAUGUUUGUGAAUAGUGUGAUGAGAUAUUUAUGUAUUUCUUGUCUUGAUUAGGUGAGAUUGAGAUAAAAAAUUGUUUAUAUACGUUUAUAUUAACAUUAGCUUUUCCUAUUUUUUUUGUUGUUUUUUUUUUCUUCUUUUGUAAUGAUCAUUAUUAUGAUAUAAGAGGAGGUUCUAGUGAUAGUAGUCACUAAAAGUGGUUGAAAUGUAGAAUUCUUGUUUGUUUAUAAUUUUUGAAAUGAAUGUAGAAUAAAUAUAUAUAUAUAUAUAUAUAUAUAUAUAUAUAUAUAUUUAUUUUUUGAGAAUCUGACUAUAAUAAUAACAAUAUUUAUAUAUGAUUGUAUAUUAAAUCUUCUCUGGCCAUAUUUGUUUUUAUAUAAAAAAUAUAAGUAAUAAAGACCUAUUUUUUUGCUUAAAAAAAUUAAAUUAUACAAAUUAAAAAUUCGUAAAUAUGUUCUAAUUUUAAUAGUUUAAAAUUUUUACUUUCAAAUAAUUUUGAAUUAUAUAAUUUAAAAAUAUUUUUAUAAGAUAGUAACUUUUAAAUUGUACAAAGACAUUUAUUUUGAUUCAUACAAAUAAAAAUAAAACACAGACACUAGUGCAAAAACGUUGUUUAACGUUGGUUAUUUUGGACUUUUAACGUCUAAUCUUAAACUGACGUUUAAACCGGCGACGUCAAUGGGACGUCAGACAUCCUAACCACAGACGUCUAUAAUGACGUUAGUUAGUGCCCACGAACGACGUCAAUAAACGUCGGCACUGGUUUGAAUGGACGUCUAAAGGCACUAAUUAGACGUCGAAUAACGCAUUAACCGACGUCGAAGAGCAUAUAUAGACGUUGAACAUGGCAAAGGCCGACGUCUAAGAGCACAUAUAGACGUCGGUUUUUGCAUUAACCGACGUUUAAUACAGUGAUUGUGUUUUAGUGCAGUUUUGUUCCCGUCUUUGGACAGCCUAGUAGCACAAUCUCCUUUUGCUAGUUUCUCCCAAAAAAAAAGCUUGCGUCUUUUGAAUUUCUUAUGGUCCCUUCAACCCAAAACCGAACCUGGGUGGUUGCUUAGUUUCAUUUUUCUUCCGCAAGAGGAAAAAAUCACGAUGAAACGAAAACUAGACAACGACCCAGGGUUGUUUUUGGAUUGAAACGAUAAAAAGAAAUUCAAAAGACUUCACUAUUUCCGGGAGGCAGCUAGCAAAGGGAGAAUGUGUUACUACGUUAUCCCAAGAAAGGAACAAAACUGCAUUAAAACACAACACAAAGAAAGCAAAUUUUAAUCAGUUGAACCAGAAGAUAAUCGAUGAAAAACAAACGGUAAGCAUAAGAAAAAACCACGCACCUGGGAUGCAAUGUUGCAAGAGAGAAAAAGAGAGGAGGAAGACGAUAAAGAUAUCAGAAACAACAAUAAAAUGCCGCAACAAAAAGAAGACGUGCCGAAAGGGAGAAAAAGAAGAGUGUCGCGAGAGAAAAAAGAGAAGAGGAAGAGGAAGAUAUCAGAAACUGAAUGCCGUGAAGAGUUUGCGGUCUUUUUAAAAUGAAAUUGGGCGUCAGUUUCUCUAGAUAGCCGACGUCUAUAUGAUUAUAGACGUUAGUUCUGUUACUAAUUCGACGUCCAAGUUAACUUUUCAACUGACCUUUUGAAUCCCACUAGAUGUCGGUCACAAUGGGAACCGACGUCUAGGAAGCUGAAACGAUUGAUAUUUGAUUUCCUGUUAGGGAUGUUGACGACAGUUGUGAUGGGGCGCCGAUGUCUAUAAUGAUGCGCAUCAUUACUUACAGGCACAUAGACGUCGGUGUCCCUUCUAGCCAACGUCUAUGGCCCUCGAAUUUGGUGAAUCUAAUUAAUUACAGACACUUAGAUGUUGCAUGCACAGAUCCCCGAUGUCUAAAUUGAAGAUUUUUUAUCUUCCCGCCUUCCAUAUUCAGGCCGUAGACGUCGCCUGUUGACUAAGUGACGUCCAAGCGCCUGAGAAUUAGGUGAAAGCAUUAAUUGCAGCCCAAUAGACGUCGGCCCCGUGAACACCGACGUCACGAGACUGUCUUCUGACCUACCUCAGGCCAUUAGACGUUUGUUUGCAGCAGUUAGGACAUCUACAAUAUCAUAGACGUUGCUUUGUCUGGAAACCGACGUCUACGUUACCAAGAUAUUUACGAUAAUGUCACCGUCCACUCAUAUACGUCGGGUUAUCAACAAACCGACGUCUAUUGAAUGACGUUAAACAAUAUUUUUACACUAGUGAGACAAAGAUAGUGACAAGAUGAUGAAACACAACGACACACAGACUAACAGUGGUAAGGGGUGAUGGCAACAGCGGCAGUUUGGUCUAUUAACUACUCCAUGGAAAUGCACAUAAAAAGUAUGGCGUGGCAGAAAGAAAUGGGCUGAUAACCAUGGCGGAAUUCAUUGGUUGGUCCUUUUGUGUAUUGCUAUUUACACUCUCUUUACAUAAGUUUUUCAUUUCCUCCUUACAAAAAUCCUCUUCCCAAAUAGCAUGUUCUGAAAGUUUAUUUUGUAACGAUUAAAUGUUAAAUUCAUUUUAAAAAAGUGUUAUUUUAUGAAAUUUUAAUAACACUUCCCAAAACUAACUAUAGGUAUCAAAUUUUGAGCCUUGUUACUGGAAACUUAAGUAUGAUAUAACAACUUAGUAAUAUGUAAUAAAAGAAUGAACACAAAUCUCUUUGUUAGAUCUAAUUGAUUAAUCAACCAUAAAUAAUUUUAAACAAUGCUGACAUAAUCUAAAGCACAGUGUUGUUACAAUUGCUUUUGUUUUGGCACCAAUACAUUUAACAUGUUUCUAAUGGUAAACUUGUACUCUUCAACAUAAUAGCAUUUAUUAAGUGGGGAUAAAAUAAUCAAAAUCUUUCUACUUGAUUAUAACCCAUAGAUAAUUAAUUAUCUAGGUUGUUCAAAAUAUACCAUGUUUUAUUAUUUUUUACUCAAUCAAUUAUUCAAAAAUUAUAUAUUAAUAUAUUAUUUAUAACCAAUGAGAUAUAAUUGAUUAUGAAUUUAUUAUAAUCUAUUAUGCACUCAUGUAAUGUAAAAUUUUCAAAAAUUUCAUAUUUUAGGAAAUAUUUUUGCUUUAAAAAUUAAAAUUAAAAUAUAAUAUACAUCCAAAUAAUCAUUUUGUACUUUAAUUUUCUUAAUUAUACCUUUUCCUUAAAAAAAAAUUACAUAUUAUCAGUUUGUGUUGGUUGUUUAUUUAGUUACAUUUCUUAUAAACAUCAAGAUUAAAAAAAAAUCAUCUCAUAAAGAUGUAAAAUUCUAUGAAAAUAUUUUUUCUUUUCAAAAUCUUCAUAUACACCCAAAUAACCAAGAUGUUUUUCAAAGUGUUGUUCCUAUUUUUAAUCAUCCUGAAGUUAAUGAUGAUGAUUUACAUAAUUCAACAUAUUAGUUCCAUAAUUAUACUAUUCAUAAUAAUGUUUUGCACACUUCUGCUCCUCAUCACAAAAAUGCUAUAGUUAUAGUCAUCUUUAUUUUAUGAAUGAUUAUCAUUGUUACGAUGUAAUAACUUCGAGCAACAUUCUAGAUCUUAUACAAACUACAUUUGUCAUAUUUCUAUUAAUUUUGAACCACAAUCUUAUUAUCAAGCCAUAAAAUUUCCAUAUUGAAAAGUUGUUAUAGAUUAUUUUCAUGCUAUGCUGUUAAAUAAUACUUCCUCUAUCAUUCCUCUCUCCCUAAAAAGCAAUCAUUAGAGUUGUAAAAAAGAUUACAACCCACGCAUCAACCAGGUCCACCACGGGUUCGAGUCGGGUUAGAUUUGAAAAAUUGUAUUUUUUUUAUGCGGAUAAGAUUUUAACCCAGAUCAUUUAAACCCUAAAUUUAUUUUAUUAAAAUUUUAUUUUAUUUUUAUGAAAAGAUAUUUAUUAUUUUUUUUUUGAAAAAAUUAUUUAAGUUUCCUAUUUUAAAAAUUAAUUACACACUCAUGUUGGCAGUGUAAUUUGGGAUUAAAAUUUGUUUAGAUUUGAAUUAUAGAAUGUUUGUAAUUUUUUUAUUUAAAAAAAUUGUAAUUAAGGGAGUUAGUGAACCAACCCGUUUACCCACCAACCCGUGGUGGGUCGGGCUGGGUUCAAAUUUUUCUGACUCGCUAAUAAAUGAGUCAGGUUGGGUUGGUUCACUAAGUGACCAACCCGUGGUGGGUCGAGUCGGACCGGGUUACCUCGUUUUGACAGCUCUAGCAAUCAUAAGUUGUAAACGAUUUUUUAAAUUGGAAUUAACUUCUAGGACAUCUAUUGCUAAACAUAAAGCUAGGUUUGUUGCACAUUGUUUUACACAAUAAUUUAGAAUUGAUUUUUGAGAAACUUUUAUCCAUAUGUUGCUCAUGUUACUUUUCUUAAACUUCUUUUCGUUACUACUUAUAAACAUUGACAUCUUGCUCAAUUUAAUAUUAACAAUACUUUUCUUGAUGACAAACUUAAUGAAGAAACCUUUAUGACUAUUCCUCAAGAUUAUCAUCAUGGUUUUUAAUCUACAUCUAACCAAUUUUUAGUCUAUAAAUUUCAUAAAUGUAUAUAUGACCUAAAACAAGUUUCUAGAAGUUGGUUUACUGCUUUUUCUUUUACUCUUACCUCUCACAAUUUUAAUUAAUCCAAGUAUAAUUAUUCUCUUUUUACCAAAGGGGCACACAACACCUUCAUUGUUAAACUUGUUUAUCUUGAUGAUAUUGGAAUUGCUAGCCCUAGUCCAACUAUUAUUAAGUAUGUUAGGUUCAACACUUUUUUAAAUUCUCAAUUUUUUUUUUCUUGAACUAAAGCUUUCUAAAUCCAAAAUAGGUAUUUUUAUGUGCCAACAACAUUACAUUCUCUAUUCUUGAGGAUUGUGGCACGUUGGGUUGUAAGCCUUCUUGUAUUCCUAUGAUUGUCAAUAUUAAACUCCAUGAAUCUUUUGGAACUCCUAUCACUGACCCAUCUGUCUAUAGACACCUUAUUAGAAGGUUACUAUAUUUAAUCACUCUAUUAAUUUAGGUAAGUAUGCAUUAUACCUUUUCCUUAAAAGAAGUUACAUAUUAUACAAGUUUAGUUUGUGCUAGAGUUUAGUCUAUAUUGGUUGUUUGUUUAGUUAUGUUUCUUGUAUAGUUAGUUUAAUUGGUUUUAGUUAAGAUAGCUUUUGUUUUUCUUUUUAUGCUUCUGCCACCAAGCCCUGUGAAGGAAGAUAGAAAAUACUUUUGGUAAUCUUCAAUAAACUUUUUAUUCUUUCCUUUGCUAUGGUAUGCUAGUACAUAUUGUUUAGGCAACCGCAAAAAAGAUAAUACAUUUGCAAUGAAGAUUUUUUAUGUGGAUUAAAAAAAUGUUUUCUAUGUUAGUUUAAGUAUAAUCAACAUGGAAAUUCUUAUAAUUUAUUAUGAAAUUACUGUUACAUCAACUUUUUAUGUUGAUUAUAAUAAUAAUCGACCUAAAAUUCUUAUCAUAUUUAUAAUUCUAUCACCACUUCAUUUAUUAUGGUAGGUGGAUAAAACUGACAUAAGAAGUUAUCAUAAAAAAUUAUUGGUGUAAAAACUAAUUUUGUGUUUUUUUACUAUAAACCAUUUCUUAACUAUUAUAUUUCAAUUCACUAGAUUUCGUGGUAUUGAAAUAGUUAGUCAUUAAAUCUUAUUAAGCUAAAAGAAAUAUAAACUUGUAAAAAGCAAGAAAAAAAACUCUUAAAGGUGUAUUAUGCAACUAGAUUCUUUGAGUGACAGUCUACCAUAAUAUUAGGAUAUGUUGUGUGAUAUAAGAAAAUAAAAUCUAGGGGACACUGGUAUCAAUUAGGAAGUACUACUACAAGAAAAACAUAUUAUUUUGGAAAUUUAACGUCUAACAGCACCGACGUCUUAUUGGAAGAUCUCAAUUUAACGUCGAGUGUAUAGUAACAUACGUCAUUAGACAUCGGUUUUUUUAAAGAUAAAUUUGUUUUACAAUAAAACUAUACUGAAAAUCAAAAAAUGUUUCCAACACAUCACAAAAUUAUACAUACUAUGUGUUUUAUGUCAUUAUAAUACUAAACAAUCUAAAAAGCAAUUCAAAAUACUAACAAAAGUAUUAACCUUCUUGAAGGGUUGAAAAUGGAAAUAAUCGAAAGAGAAUGGACACAAACAAUACAGAAUGGGCACAAGUAAUGAAGAGGGGAAGUGUUGCUGCCAAGCUCCGAGAACUCGCGCACAAGAACUUUACCAAAAGCCAAUGAAAACGAAUUUUAAUCGGUGCAAAUGAAAGAUAACGGUUCCAAACGUAACGUAGUAUGUCCAAAAUGAUUUUAAAUAGUGCAAAGUGGAAGAAAACAUAACUGAACGUUAAUGGUGAAAGAGAGAAAGCAAAGGAAGAAGAUAAACGCAGCGAGAGAGAAAACGCGUAACUAGUGCUCACGUUCUGGAGUGGGUGAAAAUUCAAGGUAUUUGACGUCGGCUGACGUCGAGUCCCCUUGCCAUCUGACAUCUAAGUGGUAAAGAAAAUUAAUAUUUUUGCACCGUUUUGACGUUCGUGGAGAGGGGAGCCAACGCCUAAAGUCUAUAAACAGUGACUUUUUAGUUUUGGGUGCAUACCAUUUAAUGUCUGACUCUAAGGGAGUUGACGUUUAAACCAUAUUUGACGUUGAAGACUCCUAUAACCAAUGUCUAGAAUGCCAUUUUAUUUAUAAAACUGUCACCAAUGAUUUUUUACAUUGGAUUUUCUUACGUUAGACAUUAAACGCAUGACGUUAAACGUUAUUUCUACACUAGUGAAGAUUAUAAUAUUCAUAUUAGGUAGUUGAACACAAGAGAAGAAGAUGAGAGAAAAAAUGUUAUAACUUGUAUAAUUAUUAAUGUUUUAUUUUAUAAUUAGUUGUUAAUGGUUUGACUAGCGUAUUGAAUUGUUCAAGUAAUAAAACAUGGCAAGACCAAAUAUUAUUUUCCAAGAGACUUGUGUAAUACUAAAGAAUUGUAUGAUUAACAACUCAUUUAGACUAAAGAGCAGUGCAUGGAUUUACAAAUAUGUGCAAGGACAUCAAUUUAUAAAUAAUACAAUGUGGACUUUGGUAGUUGAAGACAUUUAAGAGUGGAAAAAGGUCAUAAAUGAUAUGGAUCGACUUUGCUAAGGUUAGGUUUCACCAACUCCACUCUUGUGCAUACACAAAUUUAUCUCCUCUCCAUUAAACAUUAAUGUCAACCCACACUUUAGCCCUAAUCCCUUAGGUGAAAUAGCCUAGAUUUUCCUAUUAAGCGUCAAUCCUUUGAUCACUCAACAAGCAAACUCGCAUUAAGAUCUAGACUUUAAGACAACAAAUGGGUCAUGUUCCAUCCCUAGAAUCCAUGUCCUCACUAUGUAUCUUGUUUCAAGUCUAGGUCACACAAGAUACGUCCUCAUACCUAAUGAACCACAAAUCAAGUCAUGAAUGUCCCCAUUACAUGCAAGCAUUAAGAUCGAAAACAAGAAAACUAGCAAUUAAUGGUAAAGGUGUGUGUGUGUGUGUGUGUGUGUGUGUAUAUAUAUAUAUUCAAAUCAUCCACACAAGAAUUCAAAGGUUACAUUUAUCCCCAACAAGAUGAGUUUGGCUCUCCAUUUUCAUGGAGAGCCUUAAGCUUACAAAAUGGUCAUGGAAGAAGAAGAAGAAGAAACCAAGAGGAGGAUGAGAGUGUUCCCACGAACCCUAGCAGCUCUCCAAGGUCCCCUCAAAGUGAAAUCGCGCCUCUAAACCACCAAAGACCCAUAUCACUUCGCAUUUUUGAGCUAAAUAGACUAGAUUUGCCACAUCAGCAAAAGUGGGCCUCAACGACAGCCCAUCAGUAGAAAGCCAAGAUGAAUGACGCUCAAUGGUAGCCUAACGGUAGCCUAGAGGAAGAAAGCCGAGACGAACGGUGCUCAGUGCCAGCCCAACACCAGCAUUCCAAAACUCUCCCUUUUUGUUGCUAUGCUUGCUUCUCUAGGUGGUUAAGUUCUUUAAAUUGGUGGAAGUUCUUUCAUAACACAAAAUUAGCUACAAAACAAGGGAAUUAGUGAUUAUAUUUAAUAAGUGUAGCCCAAAAUACAAUUAUUUAUAAAAGUAAAAUAAAAGAGAUGAUUAAGCAAAAUUCAAACUAGAAAAGAGAUGAUUUUGCAAAGAAAAUAUGGUCCAGAUAAUGGUAAGAAUUAACAUUAUCAUUAGUCAUCACAACAAGUCAGGUCACACAUGAAUAAUAGUUAUUCAAUACCUAAUCUGUAACAGGAAAUUUGACUUUUUAUCUGUUUGAUACCCAUUUAAAAAAUAUUUAUGAAUUUUAAAAAAUUAACUGAUAUUUAUGGAUACAUAUAGAUAUUUAAAGAAAUACAAAUAAAAUUUUAAAAUAAAAUUUAAAUAAAAUUAAAAAAUGAAAAUAAAAUAUAAUUAAAUUAAAUUAAAUAUAUAAAUUUAAUCGAAUAAAGUUUACAUUAAAUUUUAAUUUUAAAGAUAAUAAAUAUUUAUAGAUACAAAUAGUUUAAAUUUGUUUAUAAAUAAAUAUUAAAUUAUUCGUCAUCCGGAUCUAAAGUAUCACUUAUUACCUAAAUUUUCAUACCCUUAUUAGUUUCAUCCGUGUAUAUCCUUAAACAAUAGUAGAAACCCGGCACGCACAUGAAGAGAACCCAAUUCUCUUCUUCUUUACUCUUUAGAAAGCACAUCAUACAUAAUUUUGCUUUUAAUUAUUACUUCCUUUUUUAAGGGUAAUAUAAAAAUAAAUUAUUUGAUUUUCUUCAUUAUUCUUUUUGAGAAAAAAUAAUUUUUUUACGUUUUAUGUCAUAAAAAUAAAAAUAAAUUAAAGUUUAUUUAUAUAUAAUUUUAUAAAUAGUUUAUCAAAACAAAUUUAUAAAAACUUUAAAACAAAAAAAAAAUAAAAAAUAUACUUUCACAAUUAUAUCUAAAUAUAAAUAAUUUAUGAGUUUAUAAAAAAUGACUUAUUUUAAAAUUUUUUAUUUAAAAUUACUUUAUUUUUAAAUUUAAACAAAUUUAACAUAUAUUAUAUUUUUAAAAUUUCAAAAUAAUGAAAUUAUAUAUCUCAAACAUAAUUACAAUUAAAAAAUUAUUUGAAAAACUUUUUGUAAAAUCAACAUUAUAUGUUAUUUAGAAAUAACUUUCAUUUGAAGAUUUUUUUUCAGUUAUAGAUCGCUUUUUAAUUUUAUUGAGUACAUUAUUAGAAUUGUUUCCCAAAAUAGACAUUUUGCUGUUCAGUAUAUUUUUUGUUUUUGCAAAAGACUAAAUUUUUAUCAUGUCUUUUUUUUAACAACAUUUUCUUUUCUAAUUUUAUAAAUGUUUAUAUUUAUUUAUAAUAUUUAUAAUAAAUUACUUUAUUAUAAUUUCACAAUUUUUAUGUGAAUAUAAAUUUAAAAAAUAUAUAAUUAAUAUUUAUAAUUUAAUUGAGAAUAAUUUUUUUCGAAAAAUGAUAUAAUAAAUAAGAUAAUUUAAAUAUAUUGUAAAUAUAGAAAUAGAAAAAUUAUCAUAAUGAAUUAUUACAAUUUUGGAUUUUUUUGUAAAAUUAAUUUUGAUAAGUGUAUAUUUAUUUUAUUAAAAUAAUUUACGUAAUAAUUCUUUUGUGUGUAAUAAGUUAGAAAAAUAAAAUUAAAUAAUGAUACGAUUUUAGGAGGAAAUAUUUGAACUUUUCUUUCCUCAAGCAUACUGUUCCACCAAUAAUUACAUGUAUAUGAAUUUAAAUAAGAAUUUUCGAAUUUAUACCUUUUUUAUUUUAAAAUUCUUAUAAAAUUCUAUUAUGAAUUUUUAUAUUUUGUUAUAUUUUAAAUUUACAUAAUUUUCAAAAUAAAACUUUUUAAUUUUUUUUAUAUCUCUAUAAAUAAACCUAGAUGUGUAAGGACCUUAAAAAAAAUGGUAAGGCUAUUGGGCCUGAGUGGAGGCAGCCGACCCAUAAGACUAAGGGCACAUCACUUUAGAGAGUAGUUUUUCAAAAGUCUGAUUUCAUUUUAGCCAAUCCCUUUCUCUCUCUAAAAACUCAGAUUUUCCAUUCUUUCUGCCUUCUCUCUAAAAUCCCAACUCACUGAACCGUUUAAUUUUUGGUUUGAAGGUGUCUAAGCGUUCACAGCGUCAAGGGCUUCACUUUGAACCUAUUGGUUUCUCCGUUUCAUUCCGGUAAGUAGUUCUUUUGUCUCCUCCGCUACUUUCGAAACCUAGGGCUAGGGGUUCUACUGAUUUUAAGCAGAUAGAACUUUCCUUUCUUUGAUUUAUGUAACAUUCUAGCUCUAAAGAGCUGUUUUCACCACCUCCGUGGUGACUGUAGGGCACUGUUCAGGUUUUGCACUAGGGAGGGUAUUAUUAGGGCGUGUUCAAUUAGCUUACUGUGGAAACCCAAGGUAAUGGGAGAUAAUUAUGUUUCUUUGAAUUGAUUAUGUGCUCGGUAUGUCUAGUGAAGUUUAAUUGUUAUACUGUUUGAAUUGCAUGUUAGGUUUUAGGAAUAUUGGAUGGUAUGUGUUGAACUGUGAAACUGAUGAAAAGUAUGAAUAUGUGAAUUGGUAGUGUACUGCUUGAAAUCUGUUUUGAAUGAGUCUAAAUGCUGCAAAUUGGUAUGUUGAAAGUGUCUUGGUCGGAAAUCCUACUGUGUUGUGGUCUUGAUAGUACAAUGACAGUUUGGGGUAUCGUUUUAAGUAGAUUGAAAGAAAUUGAGGCGUUGAAACUGUACAUUUGGAGUCUAGAGUCCAAUAGGUUAGUUUGAAUAAUUUAAAUGAAUAAAUUGUAACUCGUUGAGAGCAUGUUUGUUGGUAGGAUAGAGGAGUCUUAAAAACCUGAGUUGGCACAUCCCUGAUCAUAGAGCAGCCUUAGCCUAGUCCAGUCAGUUGUGACUAGUCAUAUGUGCUGGCGUCGAAGAUGAGUCUGAUGCGUUCAGACAUUUGAGUCCUCUCUAGUGACCAAUUGGAAUGUGAGGAGGAUUGGGAGAAAGUAAGAUCUUUACUAUGAUGAUAAUUAGAUAAACAGUUAGAGAUUUAGAGGCAUUCUAAGUUGGCUAAAGGGAAGUGAGAAGGUGAUUUUGAAUAUUUGGAGUGCUGAGUGCAUUUGGUCUGUUUGGACAGUUUAGACAAGUCAUUUGUGACUUGUUAGGCAGAUAAAAUUGAACUAAAACAGAUUAGAAAUGGUAGAAUUGAAUUAGAGUUCAUAAGUCAUAGGAUGUGAUGUUUUGGAGUUGAAUUCAAGCCUAAAUCACUUUAGAAUCACUGUAUAAUUGAUAAAAUCUAUCUAGACAAGUUUAAAUAGGUCCAUAUCACAAAUUAGAGGUGUUAGAAGUUAGGUUAGAGGGUUAAAAGUGGUUGGAGAGGCAUGAGUUGCAUGAUUCUGCAGAACGUCUGAUGGGAACUCCUGAGGAGUUGAGUCUGUUUGAAGUAGAUCUGGAUCCUCAAGGCUUCCUUGACAAAGAUUGACGCAGCGGAAAAAGGAAAAGGAUCUCGGUAUUGAAGUAGAAAUCGAGAAAGACAAAGGAUCUAGGGUUUUAAUCGGUGGAAAACCCUAUAGACUCGAAGGAAACCCUAGAAGUGGGGAGAGACUCGAAUCCGACCGAUUAAACGGUGGAAACAUGAUUUUGAUCGGUGCAAAAGAGGAAUGAUCGGAGGAAAACAAGUUUAAUCGGUGGAACGUGGUGUUUAAACGGUGAGAAAGGUUUUUAAUCGGUGGAAAGUCAAGAAAGAGGGUGGAGGAAGGUGGAUCUGUGAAGAAAAUGAACUUACAGUGACGAACGGAGCGACAAUGGUGGAACAGCGUUUAGCGGAUGGCUGGAGAUGGAGAGAUGCGCUCUCGAGAGCGAGGAAGUAAAGCUCGAGAGAGAAAAUGAAGUGUGGAUCUGCGCGAGAAAUGAAGAAGACGUGGUGAUGACGCGACUGAAGCAUUGACGCGUGUGCGUGAUGUGGCCGUGGAGGAUUGAAUCUGCGUGGAGGAGAGAGAAUGGAGCACAAUGGAGUUUGGAAAGUGAAAUGGAAGAGGUGUGCUGGAAGGUGGCUAGAGGCGGUUCAUCAAGACUCUCUAGCAUGAACUUUCAAGAUAAUUGUGUCUGGAUUUUCUUCAACAGAAAUCACAAUUCAUUUACUCAAAAGUUGUGUUUACAAUGGUGGAGACGGAUAUUUAUAAUAACCCGUGCUCCAAGAGAAAUGGACUACAUGUACACUAAAAAUAAAAGAAAUACAUGAGGCAGUAUGCCAUCAUCCCCUCCCUCUUAAGAAAAGAUUUGUCCUCAAAUCUUGGGAGUUGCCUUAUAAAGACGCUCCUCAUAGUGUUGGGAGCAUGGCCAUCUUGUAGUGGCCUUAUUCCUUUAUUCCUUGGGAUAUAUUGUUCUUCCUCCUGGAUCAAACACAAAUCUGCAAUACACAUGAAAUAUAUCACNCAUUAAUAUCNAUCCAAGAAAGGAAUUUUCAAAAGUAAUAACUUUGAAAUAAAGACUUCUUAUAUUUUGUUUUGUAGUCUUGGAAAAAUCUAGAAGUCCAUAUUCACAAGUUAUUUUAUUUUUAUCUUGAGUUAUGUGUCUCCUCAAGGGUAACAUUAACUCAAGAAUCAAAUUGCCAUGUUUUGAAAAUGAUUGUUCAUGAAUGACAUUUGAUUCAAAAGAGAAGGUAAUAUUUGAAAACUCAAUAAUGAUUGGAAAAGAAAUAAAGAUUUGGAAACCUUCCCUUUUAGGUUCCAUGACUCUUGGACGAAUUAAAUUUUCUAUUUCUCUCUUGUCCUCUUCUUUCUUCUUUUCUUCUUCUUUUCUCUUUUUCUCUUCUCCUCAUUCUAGUCUCUCUUCUUGCUUUUUUCUCUCUACUUCAUCUCUCUCUUUCUUUUCUUCUUCUUUUCUUUCUUGCUCAAGCCGUUUAAAAUCUCUUUCUAUUUUCUUAUCCCUUAACUCUUGAAGUUUUGCCCUAAAUUAUAUUUCCCUAUGAAAGAAACCAUGAGCAGUUAAACUUUCAAGAAAUAUUUUGCCAUUUUCAAUACUCUC
rnacentral:lncRNA from 1 species